GGAGGGGUGCGAGAGUGGCCGAUCCGGCACGCCUGGAGAGCGUGUAGGCGGGCAACCGCCUCGUGGGUUCAAAUCCCACCCCCUCCGCCA
rnacentral:tRNA from 1 species